rnacentral:rRNA from 1 species
AAUGAACGCUGGCGGCAGGCCUAACACAUGCAAGUCGAGCGGAUGAAGGGAGCUUGCUCCUGGAUGCAGCGGCGGACGGGUGAGUAAUGCCUAGGAAUCUGCCUGGUAGUGGGGGAUAACGUCCGGAAACGGGCGCUAAUACCGCAUACGUCCUGAGGGAGAAAGUGGGGGAUCUUCGGACCUCACGCUAUCAGAUGAGCCUAGGUCGGAUUAGCUAGUUGGUGGGGUAAAGGCCUACCAAGGCGACGAUCCGUAACUGGUCUGAGAGGAUGAUCAGUCACACUGGAACUGAGACACGGUCCAGACUCCUACGGGAGGCAGCAGUGGGGAAUAUUGGACAAUGGGCGAAAGCCUGAUCCAGCCAUGCCGCGUGUGUGAAGAAGGUCUUCGGAUUGUAAAGCACUUUAAGUUGGGAGGAAGGGCAGUAAGUUAAUACCUUGCUGUUUUGACGUUACCAACAGAAUAAGCACCGGCUAACUUCGUG